UACGAGUGCCCCAAGCGUUAUCCGGAAUUAUUGGGUGUAAAGGGUCCGUAGGCGGUCCUAUUAGUCUUCUGUGAAAGCUCCCGGCUCAACUGGGAAAACGCAGAGGAAACGGUAGGACUUGAAGAUAUGAGAGGUACAUGGAACUCAUAGUGUAGGGGUGAAAUCCGUUGAUAUUAUGGGGAACACCAAAUGCGAAGGCAAUGUACUGGCAUAUUCUUGACGCUGAGGGACGAAAGCGUGGGUAGCGAAAGGG
rnacentral:rRNA from 1 species